GUUGUUGGGUAGGGGAGCGUUCUGUAAGCCUGCGAAGGUGGCCUGUGAGGGUUGCUGGAGGUAUCAGAAGUGCGAAUGCUGACAUAAGUAACGAUAAAGCGGGUGAAAAGCCCGCUCGCCGGAAGACCAAGGGUUCCUGUCCAACGUUAAUCGGGGCAGGGUGAGUCGACCCCUAAGGCGAGGCCGAAAGGCGUAGUCGAUGGGAAACGGGUUAAUAUUCCCGUACUUGGUGUUACUGCGAAGGGGGGACGGAGAAGGCUAUGUUGGCCGGGCGACGGUUGUCCCGGUUUAAGCGUGUAGGUGUGUGUUCCAGGUAAAUCCGGUUCACUUUAACACUGAGGCGUGACGACGAGGCACUACGGUGCUGAAGCAACAAAUGCCCUGCUUCCAGGAAAAGCCUCUAAGCAUCAGGUAACAUCAAAUCGUACCCCAAACCGACACAGGUGGUCAGGUAGAGAAUACCAAGGCGCUUGAGAGAACUCGGGUGAAGGAACUAGGCAAAAUGGUGCCGUAACUUCGGGAGAAGGCACGCUGACACGUAGGUGAAGUGAUUUACUCAUGGAGCUGAAGUCAGUCGAAGAUACCAGCUGGCUGCAACUGUUUAUUAAAAACACAGCACUGUGCAAACACGAAAGUGGACGUAUACGGUGUGACGCCUGCCCGGUGCCGGAAGGUUAAUUGAUGGGGUCAGCGCAAGCGAAGCUCCUGAUCGAAGCCCCGGUAAACGGCGGCCGUAACUAUAACGGUCCUAAGGUAGCGAAAUUCCUUGUCGGGUAAGUUCCGACCUGCACGAAUGGCGUAAUGAUGGCCAGGCUGUCUCCACCCGAGACUCAGUGAAAUUGAACUCGCUGUGAAGAUGCAGUGUACCCGCGGCAAGACGGAAAGACCCCGUGAACCUUUACUAUAGCUUGACACUGAACAUUGAGCCUUGAUGUGUAGGAUAGGUGGGAGGCUUUGAAGUGUGGACGCCAGUCUGCAUGGAGCCGACCUUGAAAUACCACCCUUUAAUGUUUGAUGUUCUAACGUGGACCCGUAAUCCGGGUUGCGGACAGUGUCUGGUGGGUAGUUUGACUGGGGCGGUCUCCUCCUAAAGAGUAACGGAGGAGCACGAAGGUUGGCUAAUCCUGGUCGGACAUCAGGAGGUUAGUGCAAUGGCAUAAGCCAGCUUGACUGCGAGCGUGACGGCGCGAGCAGGUGCGAAAGCAGGUCAUAGUGAUCCGGUGGUUCUGAAUGGAAGGGCCAUCGCUCAACGGAUAAAAGGUACUCCGGGGAUAACAGGCUGAUACCGCCCAAGAGUUCAUAUCGACGGCGGUGUUUGGCACCUCGAUGUCGGCUCAUCACAUCCUGGGGCUGAAGUAGGUCCCAAGGGUAUGGCUGUUCGCCAUUUAAAGUGGUACGCGAGCUGGGUUUAGAACGUCGUGAGACAGUUCGGUCCCUAUCUGCCGUGGGCGCUGGAGAACUGAGGGGGGCUGCUCCUAGUACGAGAGGACCGGAGUGGACGCAUCACUGGUGUUCGGGUUGUCAUGCCAAUGGCACUGCCCGGUAGCUAAAUGCGGAAGAGAUAAGUGCUGAAAGCAUCUAAGCACGAAACUUGCCCCGAGAUGAGUUCUCCCUGAGAC
rnacentral:rRNA from 2 species